rnacentral:rRNA from 1 species
UACGAAGGGUGCAAGCGUUACUCGGAAUUACUGGGCGUAAAGGGUGCGUAGGUGGUCGUUUAAGUCCGUUGUGAAAUCCCUGGGCUCAACCUGGGAAUGGCAGUGGAUACUGGACGGCUAGAGUGCGGUAGAGGGUAGUGGAAUUCCCGGUGUAGCAGUGAAAUGCGUAGAGAUCGGGAGGAACACCAGUGGCGAAGGCGGCUACCUGGACCAGCACUGACACUCAAGCACGAAAGCGUGGGGAGCAAACAGG